AUAACAAUACAGGAUUCUUUCCAGGCCCUGUAAUUGGAAUGAGUCCACUUUAAAUCCUUUAACGAGGAUCUAUUGGAGGGUACGCACGGGUCAGUCGCUGGUGCAGAGCGACUGACCCAUGCGUGCUGAAGCUGAAACUCCGCUAUCGCCUGCUGCUGCUCGUACAGUCUCUCCAG